AGAGGUUGAUUCUGGCUCAGGAUGAACGUUGGCGGUGUGCCUAAUACAUGCAAGUCGAACGGUGACGAUUUUGUAGCAAUACGAAUGAAAUCAUAGUGGCGAACGGGUGAGUAACGCGUUGGUGAUCUGCCUCGAAGUGUGGAAUAACUUCCCGAAAGGGUAGCUAAUACCGCAUAGUCUCUCAAGGUUUAGAAAAUUGAGAGUAAAGGAUUUAUUCGCUUCGAGAGGAGCCUGCGUCCCAUCAGCUAGUUGGUAGGGUAAUAGCCUACCAAGGCAAUGACGGGUAGGGGACCUGAGAGGGUGGCCCCCCACAAUGGAACUGAAACACGGUCCAUACACCUACGGGUGGCAGCAGUAGGGAAUAUUAGAAAUGGGCGAAAGCCUGAUCUAGCAACACCGCGUGUGCGAUGAAGGCCUUCGGGUUGUAAAGCACUUUUUGGAGGGAAUAGGAAGGAAGGUACCUCCAGAAUAAGUCUCGGCUAACUACGUGCCAGCAGCCGCGGUAACACGUAGGAGGCAAACGUUAUCCGGAUUCACUGGGCGUAAAGCGCGUGUAGGUGGUUCUGUAAGUAGGGCGUGAAAGCUCCCGGCUCAACUGGGAGAGGCCGUACUAAACUGCAGAGCUAGAGGAUGGUAGAGGGAGGUGGAAUUCCAGGUGUAGUGGUGAAAUGCGCAGAUAUCUGGAGGAACACCAGUGGCGAAGGCGGCCUCCUGGACCAUUCCUGACACUCAGACGCGAAAGCUAGGGUAGCAAACGGAAGUAGAGACUCCGGUAGUCCUAGCCCUAAACGAUGCAGACUAGGCGUCGGCGGUUUAAUCACCGUCGGUGUCCAAGCUAACGCGAUAAGUCUGCCGCCUGAGGACUACGGCCGCAAGGCUAAAACUCAAAGGAAUUGACGGGUCCCCGCACAAGCAGCGGAGCGUGUGGUUUAAUUCGAUGCUCCGCGAAGAACCUUACCUGGGUUUGACAUAACAGUGGUAGAGAAGUGAAAACGGAUCGACCCUUCGGGGAGCUGUUACAGGUGUUGCAUGCCUGUCGUCAGCUCGUGUCGUGAGAUGUUGGGUUAAGUCCCGCAACGAGCGCAACCCUUGUCUCGUGUUGCCAGCAUUUAGUUGGGGACUCACGAGAGACUGCCGGGGUUAACUCGGAGGAAGGUGGGGAUGACGUCAAAUCAUCAUGCCCCUUAUGUCUUGGGCUUCACGCAUGCUACAAUGGCAAGUACAGAGUGUUGCGAGCCUGUGAGGGUGAGCGAAUCACUUAAAGCUUGUCUCAGUUCGGAUUGGGGUCUGCAACUCGACCCCACGAAGUCGGAGUCGCUAGUAAUCGCAGAUCAGCAACGCUGCGGUGAAAAAGUUCUCGGGCCUUGUACACACCGC
rnacentral:rRNA from 1 species